UACGGAGGAUGCGAGCGUUAUCCGGAUUUAUUGGGUUUAAAGGGUGCGUAGGCGGGAUGCCAAGUCAGCGGUAAAAAUGCGGUGCUCAACGCCGUCGAGCCGUUGAAACUGGCGUUCUUGAGUGGGCGAGAAGUGUGCGGAAUGCGUGGUGUAGCGGUGAAAUGCAUAGAUAUCACGCAGAACUCCGAUUGCGAAGGCAGCAUACCGGCGCCCUACUGACGCUGAGGCACGAAAGCGUGGGUAUCGAA
rnacentral:rRNA from 1 species